AUACGGAGGGAGCUAGCGUUGUUCGGAAUUACUGGGCGUAAAGCGCACGUAGGCGGCUUUGUAAGUUAGAGGUGAAAGCCUGGAGCUCAACUCCAGAAUUGCCUUUAAGACUGCAUCGCUUGAAUCCAGGAGAGGUGAGUGGAAUUCCGAGUGUAGAGGUGAAAUUCGUAGAUAUUCGGAAGAACACCAGUGGCGAAGGCGGCUCACUGGACUGGUAUUGACGCUGAGGUGCGAAAGCGUGGGGAGCAAACAAGAUUAGAUACCCUGGUAGUCCACGCCGUAAACGAUGAUAACUAGCUGUCCGGGGACUUGGUCUUUGGGUGGCGCAGCUAACGCAUUAAGUUAUCCACCUGGGAAGUACGACCGCAAGGUUGAA
rnacentral:rRNA from 1 species